rnacentral:rRNA from 1 species
AAUCCAUAGGUUAAUGAGGCGAACCGGGGGAACUGAAACAUCUAAGUACCCCGAGGAAAAGAAAUCAACCGAGAUUCCCCCAGUAGCGGCGAGCGAACGGGGAGGAGCCCAGAGCCUGAAUCAGCAUGUGUGUUAGUGGAAGCGUCUGGAAAGGCGCGCGAUACAGGGUGACAGCCCCGUACACAAAAGCGCAUGUGCUGUGAGCUCGAUGAGUAGGGCGGGACACGUGGUAUCCUGUCUGAAUAUGGGGGGACCAUCCUCCAAGGCUAAAUACUCCUGACUGACCGAUAGUGAACCAGUACCGUGAGGGAAAGGCGAAAAGAACCCCGGCGAGGGGAGUGAAAAAGAACCUGAAACCGUGUACGUACAAGCAGUGGGAGCACAGGUUUACCUGUGUGACUGCGUACCUUUUGUAUAAUGGGUCAGCGACUUAUAUUCUGUAGCAAGGUUAACCGUAUAGGGGAGCCGGAGGGAAACCGAGUCUUAAUUGGGCGUUAAGUUGCAGGGUAUAGACCCGAAACCCGGUGAUCUAGCCAUGGGCAGGUUGAAGGUUGGGUAACACUAACUGGAGGACCGAACCGACUAAUGUUGAAAAAUUAGCGGAUGACCUGUGGCUGGGGGUGAAAGGCCAAUCAAACCGGGAGAUAGCUGGUUCUCCCCGAAAGCUAUUUAGGUAGCGCCUCGUGAAUUCAUCUCCGGGGGUAGAGCACUGUUUCGGCUAGGGGGCCAUCCCGGCUUACCAACCCGAUGCAAACUGCGAAUACCGGAGAAUGUUAUCACGGGAGACACACGGCGGGUGCUAACGUCCGUCGUGAAGAGGGAAACAACCCAGACCGCCAGCUAAGGUCCCAAAGUCAUGGUUAAGUGGGAAACGAUGUGGGAAGGCCCAGACAGCCAGGAUGUUGGCUUAGAAGCAGCCAUCAUUUAAAGAAAGCGUAAUAGCUCACUGGUCGAGUCGGCCUGCGCGGAAGAUGUAACGGGGCUAAACCAUGCACCGAAGCUGCGGCAGCGAACGUAUCACCCAAGACAACUUUACGGAGUUGACGAUUGACGGAGCGAAGCGACGUCAAAGCGUUCAUUAAAGUCGAGUUGGCUUAGGGAUACGUUCGUUGGGUAGGGGAGCGUUCUGUAAGCCGUUGAAGGUGGCCUGUGAGGGUUACUGGAGGUAUCAGAAGUGCGAAUGCUGACAUAAGUAACGAUAAAGCGGGUGAAAAGCCCGCUCGCCGGAAGACCAAGGGUUCCUGUCCAACGUUAAUCGGGGCAGGGUGAGUCGACCCCUAAGGCGAGGCCGAAAGGCGUAGUCGAUGGGAAACGGGUUAAUAUUCCCGUACUUGGUGUUACUGCGAAGGGGGGACGGAGAAGGCUAUGUUGGCCGGGCGACGGUUGUCCCGGUUUAAGCGUGUAGGUGUGUGUUCCAGGUAAAUCCGGUUCACUUUAACACUGAGGCGUGAUGACGAGGCACUACGGUGCUGAAGCAACAAAUGCCCUGCUUCCAGGAAAAGCCUCUAAGCAUCAGGUAACAUCAAAUCGUACCCCAAACCGACACAGGUGGUCAGGUAGAGAAUACCAAGGCGCUUGAGAGAACUCGGGUGAAGGAACUAGGCAAAAUGGUGCCGUAACUUCGGGAGAAGGCACGCUGACACGUAGGUGAAGUGAUUUACUCAUGGAGCUGAAGUCAGUCGAAGAUACCAGCUGGCUGCAACUGUUUAUUAAAAACACAGCACUGUGCAAACACGAAAGUGGACGUAUACGGUGUGACGCCUGCCCGGUGCCGGAAGGUUAAUUGAUGGGGUCAGCGCAAGCGAAGCUCCUGAUCGAAGCCCCGGUAAACGGCGGCCGUAACUAUAACGGUCCUAAGGUAGCGAAAUUCCUUGUCGGGUAAGUUCCGACCUGCACGAAUGGCGUAAUGAUGGCCAGGCUGUCUCCACCCGAGACUCAGUGAAAUUGAACUCGCUGUGAAGAUGCAGUGUACCCGCGGCAAGACGGAAAGACCCCGUGAACCUUUACUAUAGCUUGACACUGAACAUUGAGCCUUGAUGUGUAGGAUAGGUGGGAGGCUUUGAAGUGUGGACGCCAGUCUGCAUGGAGCCGACCUUGAAAUACCACCCUUUAAUGUUUGAUGUUCUAACGUGGACCCGUGAUCCGGGUUGCGGACAGUGUCUGGUGGGUAGUUUGACUGGGGCGGUCUCCUCCUAAAGAGUAACGGAGGAGCACGAAGGUUGGCUAAUCCUGGUCGGACAUCAGGAGGUUAGUGCAAUGGCAUAAGCCAGCUUGACUGCGAGCGUGACGGCGCGAGCAGGUGCGAAAGCAGGUCAUAGUGAUCCGGUGGUUCUGAAUGGAAGGGCCAUCGCUCAACGGAUAAAAGGUACUCCGGGGAUAACAGGCUGAUACCGCCCAAGAGUUCAUAUCGACGGCGGUGUUUGGCACCUCGAUGUCGGCUCAUCACAUCCUGGGGCUGAAGUAGGUCCCAAGGGUAUGGCUGUUCGCCAUUUAAAGUGGUACGCGAGCUGGGUUUAGAACGUCGUGAGACAGUUCGGUCCCUAUCUGCCGUGGGCGCUGGAGAACUGAGGGGGGCUGCUCCUAGUACGAGAGGACCGGAGUGGACGCAUCACUGGUGUUCGGGUUGUCAUGCCAAUGGCACUGCCCGGUAGCUAAAUGCGGAAGAGAUAAGUGCUGAAAGCAUCUAAGCACGAAACUUGCCCCGA